AGAGACUGAGUAGUAUUGGUUCCAGUCUCCCCCUACGUUUGUUGUGAGGUUGUCAAGUAAUGCCAUGUGCUAGUGAGUUGUAAAUAUAUUGAAACCUUUUCCCUCGUUGAAUACGCCUCACAGGUAAGCCUUCUUGUUGUGUUCCCAGCAUGUUGGGUUCACCAGGUCAAGCAUAGUGAAGUACCGGACGGACAGUGGACUCUUACACAGUCGUUUAUUGGACUAAAUCAUGUAAUCAGUCUAGCCGACUUGUUACAACACUUGUGGUGAAAACUAAAAAGGAAUGCAGGAUUUGUCUAAGGUGUGGUUUGCACACAAGUCCCUGCCAGAUUCUCAGAUGUUCAAGCUUUCCUUCUGUAUGAAGCAACUGGACAUAUUGUGGCUCCUCAGGAUGGGAUGUUAGUCUCUCUUAAUAGCCUUGCCCUUCAGUACAAAGCAAGGCCCAGGGAGGUACUGGACAAAGAAUUUUGGUUGCUCCCAGAGAACAUCUUCAGGAUGGAAUAUUGGUCUGUCUAUAGGCAACCCUUCUCCCCGAGCACUGAGCAAGGCUAAGGAAGGAAGUUAUUGGUACUGCUAUAGCAAUAUUUUGCCUUUUAUCAAAUGGAAAGUCAUUCCUCUGUAUGGUGGUGUACUUAUCACAAUCACUGAAUACAUUUAUUUUCCUAUUCCUUGAUAAAUAAGAAAUUAUGGUGAGUCAUCUCGUAAUCACUGUUUGGAAUUGUUAUGGGCCAUUUAACUUCUGUCACACUUAGAACUCUGAACAAAAUUGUAACAAUGGGUGAUGAUAAUGUGGACAUAAGUUAAAGAAAAUCCAUCUUUUAAAUGAUAAUUCAUUAUUUUGAUGAAGCAGAAAAAAUGAUGUUGGUUAAGCUUUCGUUCCUUAAAAAGAUACACUUGCAAGUCUAUUGACAGGAACAACUGGAACUUGACCCGUCAUAGGGAACAGGGGGGAGAUACUCAUUUGAUUUUGCAUGAUCUUCAUUUUAGGGCUAAGAAUGCUGGAAGUAUUCUUUGGAUUUUUGUUAACUGUUAUGGCUGCAUCAUUCAGCUAUGAGUAUGUCAAAGUAAAGGCACAUCAGGAUGAAGUACUCAAAGGACUUUUUAUACCUUGGUGUGAAGACUGUGACAAUAAAAGUAUUUUACAGGCUGUGGGUAUCGUCGGAGCAGUCAUCAUGCCUCAUAACAUGUAUCUAGAUUCAGCUUUAGUUAAGAUUUGUAUACUUAAAGAAUAUGAAUUUUUAGUGGAAUAAUGCUGUUUUAAUUUACAAGUCCUCAAUUCCCUAUCCGGUAUUUAGGUAAACCUAUAAAAUGAAUACAAAAACAACACCACUAUGCUUAAAAAUGGGAAUGAAAAAAACAGAGCAUGGUCCAAUGCAACGCACUGGGGGGUGUCUCGAAAACUUAAAGACCUAAAACCUAAGACCUAAGACCUAAGACCCCUCGAAAACUAAGACCUUUCGAAAACUAAGACCCCUCGAAAACUAAGACCCCUCGAAAAUAGACUUUCUCAAAGUUGUUCGCUUAGUUUUCUGUUCAGGUGUGUUACGACCCGCAGGAACUUCGCUCGCGCCUCGCGCUCACUGUUGCGCUACGCGCUUAAAAGCGCGACUUGUGAGCAAGUCUAUGAAGGUGGAUCCUGGACAAAAUGUUCGAUUCGUCGUUUCG